GGUCCCAUUUCGCUUUUUUUUUAGUAGACCGGUUUGACUGCGAAGCGGUGGGGUAUGAGAGCUUAAUCAAAAGAGGUCUCAACCUAACUUAAUCUGCUGAUGCCAUUCUUGGUGGUGUAGUCCCAUGAAACCCUGGAAUUUUUCUCUGUAGGCUAUCUGUCCUUGUAAGCAUGCUCCAAAGGCAGCGGUGGCAGCAAAAUCUAGCAUUGUACAAGAGUUGACGGAAAUACCUUCUGUUCCGGUAGUCAAGGAGCAGCAGCAGAAACCAGCCGGGAAGAGGAAUCCACCUACUUUUCCAUUAGGUAUGAUUGUUAAAGUGAAGCCACAGGCGAAGAAAGCUAAAAUUGAUCAAGGGGGCAUUGAAGAAGCUACAAGCACAGCGAAAAACCCUUAUGUUGAUACAGAUAAAACUUUAGAGGUAACCAAGACACCUGAGGCUGAUACUGAUAAGUCCAGUGUUGUUUCUAAGACUGGUCUUGUUUCAUACAGUGAUGAUAGUGAAGAUGACUUGUAGCUUCAAUCUUAUCUUUAAGGAGGAGUUAAUAUCAAAUGACUAAUGUGAUUUUUUUUUAUUGAU